rnacentral:rRNA from 1 species
ACGAAGGGGGCUAGCGUUGCUCGGAAUUACUGGGCGUAAAGCGCACGUAGGCGGCUUGGUAAGUUUGGUGUGAAAUCCCCGAGCUUAACUUGGGAAUUGCAUUCAAGACUGCCUUGCUAGAGUGUGGGAGAGGGAAGCGGAAUUCCAGGUGUAGCGGUGAAAUGCGUAGAUAUCUGGAGGAACAUCAGUGGCGAAGGCGGCUUUCUGGCCAAACACUGACGCUGAGGUGCGAAAGCGUGGGUAGCAAACAGGA